UACGGAGGGUGCAAGCGUUGCUCGGAAUUAUUGGGCGUAAAGGGUAGGUAGGUGGUCUCAUUUGUGUGGGGUGAAAGCCUUGGGCUUAACUCAAGAAGUGCCCCGCAAACGGUGAGACUGGAGUCUUGGAGAGGGUUGCGGAAUUCCCGGUGUAGCGGUGAAAUGCGUAGAGAUCGGGAGGAACACCAGAGGCGAAGGCGGCAACCUGGACAAGUACUGACACUCAGCUGCGAAAGCGUGGGGAGCAAACAGG
rnacentral:rRNA from 1 species